CGGCGCACGGGUGCGUAACACGUGGGACAACUGACCCUUUGGAAUGGGGGAUACCCCCGCGAAAGCGGGAUCAAUACCGCAUGAUAUUCAGGCAGCACUCGGAUCUUAUUGACUCAAAGCCCGCAAGGGCGUCUAAGGAGGGGCCCGAGCCCGAUUAGCUAGAUUGGUGAGGUAACGGCUCACCAAGGACUUUGAUCGGUAGACCGGUCUGAGAGGAUGGCCAGGACACACUGGAACUGAGACACGGUCCAAGACUCCUACGGGAGGCAGACAGUGGGGAAUAUUACGCAAUGGGCGAAAGCCUGACGCAGCGACAGCCGCGUGGGGGAUGAAGCUUCUCGGAGAUGUAAACCCCUUUCGAACCGGACGAAUGACCCGGAAAAGGGUUUUGACGGUACGGGUAUAAAGAAGACACCGGAUAACUAAGUGCACAAGAAAGAAAAGAGGAUAAUACGUAAGAGGGGACACAAGAAGAUUGCAUCGG
rnacentral:rRNA from 1 species